UACUUAAAAAUCUAUUCAGAUAAUUACAAUAUAAUACCAAAUAUUCUAAAUUGAAAACACACGAUGUUAUCACCACAUUCGACUGUGUAACUGGAAAUGGAGGAAAACAUUAUUUUUGAGAAAUAAAAUUUAAUUUUCUUUGCAACAGGCAAAGAAAAUACCAAAGAAAAAAAAAUUUAAAAACAUUUACACGUUUAGUUCAAUGUUACCCGCAAAUUCAAAGUUACCCAGAAUGACUGU